rnacentral:rRNA from 1 species
CGCGUAGGAAUCUGCCCAAAAGUGGGGAGUAACUUAGGGAAACCGAACGACUAAUACCGCAUAUACCUAAGGGUGAAGGUGGGGAGUCUUCGGACCUACCGCUUUUGGUAGGAGCCUGCGUCGGAUUAGCUAGUUGGUGGGGUAAAGGGCCCACCAAGGCGACGAUCCGUAGCUGGUCUGAGAGGAUGGCCAGCCACACUGGGGACUGAGACACGGCCCAGACUCCUACGGGGAGGCAGCAGUGGGGAAUAUUGGACAAUGGGCGCAAGCCUGAUCCAGCCAUGCCGCGUGUGUGAAGAA